UACGUAGGGUGCGAGCGUUGUCCGGAAUUAUUGGGCGUAAAGAGCUCGUAGGCGGUCUGUCGCGUCGGUCGUGAAAACUUGGGGCUUAACCCUGAGCUUGCGGUCGAUACGGGCAUGACUGGAGUUCGGCAGGGGAGACUGGAAUUCCUGGUGUAGCGGUGAAAUGCGCAGAUAUCAGGAGGAACACCGGUGGCGAAGGCGGCAUCCUGGACUGGUACUGACGCUCAGGAGCGAAAGCGUGGGGAGCGAUCCGG
rnacentral:rRNA from 1 species